CUAUUUUUUUUGCGAAAUGAUGUAGGAUAAUUAGAAAUGGGUCUAAUUGACACAAACUGCUGAAAAUUACGGAAAACACACUAAAAGACAAGUUUGAUCGCCAUCUAUGAUUCACAUUUACAACUGCUGAUAUGGAACAAUAAGUCUUCGUUACGUAUGAACGCCGCCAUUUUUUUGCAGCACUGAUUUGAUUGAUGGAAAAAUGGAAUGGCGUAUUUUCCUUCCUUACAGUUACAGUUUUCUUCAUAAAAAACUGAUCAUGUGGCCUACAUUUUGCCAAGAUGUCGUCUCUUUUUCCUGUACGUACAAGCUGUACGGUUUGUAAGAAACACUAAAGAACAAAUCAGUCUGGUGAAGUCUGAGCUUCGUCGUUGCUGCCCAAUGUACUUAUGGAUUUGAUGCAGCCAGCUGGUAAAGGGUGUUCCUCUUGCUACCUGUACUCUUGUGAGUUUCGUCAAAUGAAGAAACAUGAACAACUGAAGUUUAUCGUGUAUGUUCGCGUAGUUGCUGUCCGCUGUGGUACGUUGUUGCAGCCUAUGCUGGUGACAGAUCUUUCUGCAUCGAAUUCAAUUGGCCGUGGUGUUGUCGUGUUACCGAAGUUGCAUUAUUAUUUUAUUAAAUUGGAAUUGUGUCAAUGUAGUUUACCGU
rnacentral:lncRNA from 1 species